rnacentral:rRNA from 1 species
AUGGCUCGUCUCAACAGCAAGGCUGUGGUGGCCGCCGUGGUCCUGGCGGCGGUGGUGCUGAUGAUGGCCGGCAGGGAGGCCUCGGCGGCGCUGUCGUGCGGGCAGGUGGACUCCAAGCUCGCGCCGUGCGUGGCGUACGUGACGGGGAGGGCGUCCUCGAUCAGCAAGAUAGCGUGCAGGUGCCUCAAGAGCCUCGCCACCAGCAUCAAGUCCAUCAACAUGGGCAAGGUCUCCGGCGUGCCCGGCAAGUGCGGCGUCAGUGUGCCCUUCCCCAUCAGCAUGUCCACCAACUGCGACACUGUCAACUAG